rnacentral:rRNA from 1 species
AGAUUGAACGCUGGCGGCAUGCCUAACACAUGCAAGUCGAACGGGAGUAGCAAUACUCUAGUGGCGGACGGGUGAGGAAUACGUAGGAAUUUGCCCUUAAGUGGGGGAUAACCCGGGGAAACCCGGAUUAAUACCGCAUGACCUCGAAAGAGCAAAGUGGGGGAUCGCAAGACCUCACGCUUUUGGAGAAGCCUACGUCGGAUUAGCUAGUUGGUGAGGUAAUGGCUCACCAAGGCGACGAUCCGUAACUGUCUGAGAGGAUGAUCAGUCACACCGGAACUGAGACACGGUCCGGACUCCUACGGGAGGCAGCAGUGGGGAAUAUUGGACAAGUGGG